rnacentral:rRNA from 1 species
AGUUUGAUCCUGGCUCAGGAUGAACGCUGGCGGCGUGCCUAACACAUGCAAGUCGAGCGAUUCUCUUCGGAGAAGAGCGGCGGACGGGUGAGUAACGCGUGGGUAACCUGCCCUGUACACACGGAUAACAUACCGAAAGGUAUGCUAAUACGAGAUAAUAUACUUUUAUCGCAUGGUAGAAGUAUCAAAGCUCCGGCGGUACAGGAUGGACCCGCGUCUGAUUAGCUAGUUGGUAAGGUAACGGCUUACCAAGGCGACGAUCAGUAGCCGACCUGAGAGGGUGAUCGGCCACAUUGGAACUGAGACACGGUCCAAACUCCUACGGGAGGCAGCAGUGGGGAAUAUUGCACAAUGGGCGAAAACCUGAUGCAGCAACGCCGCGUGAGCGAUGAAGGCCUUCGGGUCGUAAAGCUCUGUCCUCAAGGAAGAUAAUGACGGUACUUGAGGAGGAAGCCCCGGCUAACUACGUG